rnacentral:tRNA from 45 species
GCCCCUAUAGCUCAGCUGGUAGAGCAACUGAUUUGUAAUCAGUGGGUCGGGAGUUCGAGUCUCUCUGGGGGCACCA